rnacentral:lncRNA from 1 species
CAUGCUUAUACACAUAACAUUUGUGUGUGUAGUGAACCCUGGGCAAUAUAUGUGAAAUGAAAAAAAUGUUGCUUACCACUGGAAUCUGUUUUCUUAAACGAAGUAACUAACUGAUACUUGAAAGUUUAUUGGUUUCGUCUGUUAGUUUGUCUAAUUAUAUAAGUUUUCGGUUGCUAAAUUUCUAUAUAUAUGUUAGGCUGGAUAUAUGGGUGUGCAUAUCAGACUGAAGCUUUUUUAGGAUGUCUGAGACAAUUGCAGUUUAGUAUGCAAUGAAUCCUGGACUAUAUAUGUGAAAUAAUGAAAAAAUGUUGAUUAUCAUUGGAAUCUAUUUUCUGAAACGAAGCAACUGGGUACUUGAAAGUUUAUCGUUUUCAUUUGCUAGUUUGUAUGGAUGUGCAUAUCAGAUUGAAGUUUUUUUUCUUCUAGGAUAGCG